GAUGAAGAACGUAGCGAAAUGCGAUAAGUAAUGUGAAUUGCAGAAUUCAGUGAAUCAUCGAAUCUUUGAACGCACAUUGCGCCCGCCAGUAUUCUGGCGGGCAUGCCUGUUCGAGCGUCAUUACAACCCUCAGGCCCCCGGGCCUGGCGUUGGGGAUCGGCGGAAGCCCCCUGCGGGCACAACGCCGUCCCCCAAAUACAGUGGCGGUCCCGCCGCAGCUUCCAUUGCGUAGUAGCUAACACCUCGCAACUGGAGAGCGGCGCGGCCACGCCGUAAAACACCCAACUUCUGAAUGUUGACCUCUAAUCAGGUAGGAAUACCCGCUGAACUUAAGCAUAUCAUAAGCGGAGGA
rnacentral:misc_RNA from 1 species